UACGAAGGGUGCAAGCGUUACUCGGAAUUACUGGGCGUAAAGCGUGCGUAGGUGGUUUGUUAAGUCUGAUGUGAAAGCCCUGGGCUCAACCUGGGAACGGCAUUGGAAACUGGCUUACUAGAGUGCGGUAGAGGGGUGUGGAAUUCCCGGUGUAGCAGUGAAAUGCGUAGAUAUCGGGAGGAACAUCAGUGGCGAAGGCGGCCUUCUGGUCCAGUACUGACACUCAAGUGCGAAAGCGUGGGGAGCAAACAGG
rnacentral:rRNA from 1 species